UUGAGCUCUGUUACCUUUAACAACCUCAGCCAAUGUUUGCUUCUGAGAUCCAGCUGAGUACGUGAGCUUCCUAGCCGUUGUUGUCACACCUGCUUCCAUUGGUUGCAUUUUAUCUUCUUCCUUCUCCGGCGGAGCUUGCAUGACUGUAGUAGCACUUCUCAUACCUGGGAACCAAUGCAAUAGUGGUGCUGGGGUUAAUUUUUAUGGAAUCCUGCUUUCAGGGGUUAUCAUUCUCGUAAAAAUAAGCUACUUUUCUA
rnacentral:lncRNA from 1 species